CACAAAAUCUGAGUCUGGGUCACAUACUUUUUCAUGGAUGAGAGGGCUGGUAGACGGAACAUCUAAUACUGGCCCUGAAGAAGGUUGCUUCGACUUCUGUGCACUGGACACAUAGUGACAACAUUCAUAACGAUGAGAUAGUACAAGGAGUGGCAAGGGCUCUGUGUGUGAUGAAUGUGAAUCAUCCAAAGGUUCUCAGAAUGAGCAGCGACCUGCCUCUUGCUUCUGCCUCCCGAUGAGAUUGUCUGGACCAGAAGAUUGCUGGAGCUCCCCAGAAUAGGUCACACAUGGAGAUGAGCAGCUUUGCACCAUGGACCCCAAUUACCUUGGAUGGUGACACUCAAACCAGAAGUUUCUCGUGUGUUUGCAAUGGCAAUGAAAAUCCAGUAUGAUCAAGGGCAACGUGAAGCACUGUUUGUAAUCAGCAGAGUAAAAAAGUGAGUAACUUG